UGGGGAAUAUUGGACAAUGGGCGACAGCCUGAUCCAGCCAUGCCGCGUGUGUGAAGAAGGUCUUCGGAUUGUAAAGCACUUUAAGUUGGGAGGAAGGGCAUUAACCUAAUACGUUAGUGUUUUGACGUUACCGACAGAAUAAGCACCGGCUAACUCUGUGCCAGCAGCCGCGGUGAUACAGAGGGUGCAAGCGUUAAUCGGAAUUACUGGGCGUAAAGCGCGCGUAGGUGGUUUGUUAAGUUGGAUGUGAAAUCCCCGGGCUCAACCUGGGAACUGCAUUCAAAACUGACUGACUAGAGUAUGGUAGAGGGUGGUGGAAUUUCCUGUGUAGCGGUGAAAUGCGUAGAUAUAGGAAGGAACACCAGUGGCGAAGGCGACCACCUGGACUAAUACUGACACUGAGGUGCGAAAGCGUGGGGAGCAAACA
rnacentral:rRNA from 1 species